rnacentral:rRNA from 1 species
AGCAGCCGCGGUAAUUCCAGCUCCAAUAGCGUAUAUUAAAGUUGUUGCAGUUAAAAAGCUCGUAGUUGAAUUUUGGAUUCUUCCAAUUGGUCCAUCUUUUAGAUGAGUACUGGUUGUGUGGGGUCUAUCCGCCUGGUGAUACGUAAUGUCCUUUAUUGGAUGUUUCGGGUAGUCAGGACCUUUACCUUGAAAAAAUUAGAGUGUUUAAAGCAGGCUUAUGCCGGAAUACAUUAGCAUGGAAUAAUAGAAUAGGACGAAGUUGUUUUAUUUUGUUGGUUUCUAGGACAACCGUAAUGAUUAAUAGGGAUAGUUGGGGGCAUUAGUAUUCAAUUGUCAGAGGUGAAAUUCUUGGAUUUAUUGAAGACUAACUACUGCGAAAGCAUUUGCCAAGGAUGUUUUCAUUAAUCAAGAACGAAAGUUAGGGGAUCGAAGACGAUCAGAUACCGUCGU